CAGCCAAAGUCCCUUUUUAGUCUGGAUGCCCAUUUGGGCAGAAUCGACUCCGGCAGUCAAAAGUGUGAACUUCGGUAACCGAAAAUCCCCCAACUAUCAAGGGCAUAAAAGGGACCAUAGUUCAUUUCCUACUCAAAACACUUGGGUUUCUUUCUUUUCCCUCUCUCUCUCAACUAUUGAGGCAUACAAGGGGCUCUUUGAAGAGAUCCUUUUGAAAUUUUGAAGAUCCAGAGGUGGAUUCUUCCAUUUGGAAGUGUAGAAAAGUAUAUUUAAGUUUUGAAGUUUUUAUUCUCUCACCUCUAAGCUCCAAGAAAAGAGGUUUUUGACCUAGGAAUUCUAAAAAUUUCCAAGUUCGGUUGCCGAAAGCCAGAGGUUCGACAGUCGAAGCUUGCAUUUUCUCAGAAAAUCUGGAAAUUUUCCAAGUUCGGCAGCUAAAGUCCCAGACUUCGGCAGCUGCAGUGGCUACUGCCCAAAAUGGACACUUAAUGUACUAAGGUUUGGCAGCCAAAACCUAAGGCUCUGGCAGCCAAACUUAGUUCUGUCCACUUUUUUUCUUCUUUGAUGUCAAUAUUCCAAAACCUAAUUUCAUAGUUCCUGAGGGCCUAGAACAGGAUGUUUAUGAUAUGUAUAGAUUUUUAGAACCUUGUGUAACACUCUAAGGUCCGAUUUUAUACGAUCAGGCUUGAGGGACUUGGAAGGGUAAGGAUCCAAGGAUAGCUCUCAUUCGAGUAUGGUGGUUAAUAGGCUACAAGAGGUGCAGGGUUGCAGGACUAGAAGAGUUCCUUAAAGAAAGAGCAUCAGGGGUAGUUUUAGUCCUUUAUUUGUGUAUGAUGUGUGGGUAAAUGGACAUGUAAUUUAUGAAUGGAUAUUACUUUGCUAGUGAUUAAGGUAAUUUGGAAGUAUGUAAUAUUAUUUAAGUAUGAUAAUGUAUAUGUCGUGUAAACCCCUUUUGAGGGUACGCAUGUGGAACCAUUGCACUUUAGAUUUUAUGUGUAUUAAUGUUCAAAUUAUAAACCA